rnacentral:misc_RNA from 1 species
AAUUUUUUUUUUUUUUUUGGUCAAAGCAACUGCUACUCUCUCUACUGUAAGAAGGUGGCCUAGUAUUGAACACUGACUUCGGUCACUGAAGCAGGCCUUACCUUUGGAGGCCUACCCCUUGGCCUGCCAGUCCCUGUUGCCAUUGCCACUAUUGUGGUAGUGGCUGUCCCAUUCACUUCCUCCAUGGACUGUGCCAUCUUGCGUGGUCUCCCUCUUGGCUUUUCACUUCCAGUAGUGGCAGGCUUUGGCUUCACUGGCUUAGGGGGUGCAUUUGGGUCCUUUGGUGGACGGCCUCUGGGUCUGGCAGGGGACACAACAAUUCCUGAUGGCAAUGGAACCAUAGACUUCGGAGGCCUACCUCGGCCACGCCUUGGAGGCGCAUUGGGAUCUGCUUUCAUAUAGUUGUUUUUCCAAAAGAUUAGCUCUCCAGUAGUCUUCAUUCUGUUGAGGUGGUGAGAGAGAAGAGUCGAAUGGGUUGCUGGCAAGUCCCUAUAUUUUGAUUCAAUGUACUUUGAUAUUGAUGUCUUGUUGGAGCCAUUCUUCUCAUCCAGGGCCGCAAUUGCUGCCAAAAUCAUCUCAGGGUAAGGAAGGAGUGAUGGAAUAAUAUUACCCUCUUCAGCUGCCAUAGAUUUGCACGGAGAGAGAGAGAGAGAAAGUUCUUCAAAGUACAAAUCAACUCUUAGACAAUCUCUGAAAGCAACCGAUUAUAGAACUGUUGUUGAUCAUCUAUUGAUUUGGGCAACAGCGUCUUCGUUCUUAAAAUGGCAAUAAAAUUGGACGGCUA